rnacentral:rRNA from 1 species
UACGUAGGGUGCAGGCGUUAAUCGGAAUUACUGGGCGUAAAGCGUGCGCAGGCGGUUUGCUAAGACCGAUGUGAAAUCCCCGGGCUCAACCUGGGAACUGCAUUGGUGACUGGCAGGCUAGAGUAUGGCAGAGGGGGGUAGAAUUCCACGUGUAGCAGUGAAAUGCGUAGAGAUGUGGAGGAAUACCGAUGGCGAAGGCAGCCCCCUGGGCCAAUACUGACGCUCAUGCACGAAAGCGUGGGGAGCAAACAGG